CAAGAGGUAGUUUAAUUUUAAAAUAUUAAUUUUGGGGAUUAAUGAAAAAGUA
rnacentral:tRNA from 5 species